GGCGUUUUUUUUUUUUUUUUGUAAUGGUGACAUUCUCUGAAAUCCUGUGCCGUAUAUGAGCAUAUUCCUAUUCAAAUAGCAUUCCAAUCAUGUUAUUAUCUACUAGUGUGGUGUUUUAGAGAAAACAACCUUUAGUGGUUUAGCUUUCCUUCCUUUUAAAGGCCUUGGAAGGAUGACAUCAGAUAGUGGGAACACAAUGAAGUUAUCUUUCUGGUAACCUUGAGAAGUACAGCAAGUCAAUUUAAACAUUUUAGUCCAAGGCACAAAGGCAUAUAUACUAUACAAUGAACUCUCUUAUUGGAACAUCUAUGACUCCAUCUUUGUACAGAGGUAUCAUCAAGAUACUCCAUGACUAUGACACAGAUCCCGUAACCCAGUCCGAAAAGAAAAUACCACCAAUGUUGAUGGCAUACACAGUCUGUUCUGGUGCAAGGUGCUUUUCUUUGAUGCAGAUCAUUUCAUAAGCGACUGAUAAAUACAGAAUGAUGUCAUGUGAUAGAGAAAUAUUGUUAGAUAAUACAUGAUUUCCCCCCCAGACAUUUAUGUUUUGAAGCAAUAUGGGGCAAGCUUUCUCACAAUUAAAUAGAAAGACUUAUUGUGUGAUGACCUUAAGAAAAAGAUGAAAAACCUACAGAAGAGCCUUCCUUUAGUGAAGGAAUGGCUGGUUUAGUGGCUUCGAGAACAGCCGUGCUUUUCAAGAUGUUAAGCUUGACUGUGGAAGCAGAUGAAGGAGCUAUAAAGACAUUUUUUCCUGUGUUAAAAAACAAAGAUUAAUGAAGAAGUCUAGACUUUAAAUUUUAUUUUCCUGUAAGUCCUGUCACUUAUAGUCUGAAAUUUUGCUGAACAUGAGGUUUUUUUUUUUUGGAAAGCAGAUAUGGUGUUACAGCAGAAGUACUUUAGUUUACAAAACUAUGCCUUCUUUAGCAAUUGCCACUUUAUUUUUCUAAGGACUCAAAAAUAACUUUAGUAAUAUCUUCUGCGUUUUUUUUUUUUUUUUUUGGUUGGAU